rnacentral:rRNA from 1 species
GUCUUCUAGGGGCUACGCCGUGUUGCUUCGGGGGCGACCCUGCCGGCGAACUGCCGUCGCCGUCCCGGCGCCCCCGGAGGUCUUCUAAACACUGCAUCUUUGCGUCGGAGUUCAAAACAAAUCGAACAAAACUUUCAACAACGGAUCUCUUGGUUCUGGCAUCGAUGAAGAACGCAGCGAAAUGCGAUAAGUAAUGUGAAUUGCAGAAUUCAGUGAAUCAUCGAAUCUUUGAACGCACAUUGCGCCCUUUGGUAUUCCGAAGGGCAUGCCUGUUCGAGCGUCAUUUCACCACUCAAGCCUGGCUUGGUAUUGGGCGUCGCGGUGUUUCGCGCGCCUUAAAGUCUUCCGGCUGAGCUGUCCGUCUCCUAGCGUUGUGGAUUCUUCAAUUCGCUUCGGAGUGCGGGCGGCCGCGGCCGUUAAAUCUUUAUUGAAAGGUUGACCUCGGAUCAGGUAGGGAUACCCGCUGAACUUAAGCAUAUCAAUAAGCGGAGGAA